AUUGAACGCUGGCGGCAGGCCUAACACAUGCAAGUCGAACGGUAAUAGGAAGAAGCUUGCUUCUUUGCUGACGAGUGGCAGACGGGUGAGUAAUGUCUGGGAAACUGCCUGAUGGAGGGGGAUAACUACUGGAAACGGUAGCUAAUACCGCAUAACGUCGCAAGACCAAAAAGGGGGACCUUCGGGCCUCUUGCCAUCGGAUGUGCCCAGAUGGGAUUAGCUAGUAGGUGGGGUAACGGCUCACCUAGGCGACGAUCCCUAGCUGGUCUGAGAGGAUGACCAGCCACACUGGAACUGAGACACGGUCCAGACUCCUACGGGAGGCAGCAGUGGGGAAUAUUGCACAAUGGGCGCAAGCCUGAUGCAGCCAUGCCGCGUGUAUGAAGAAGGCCUUCGGGUUGUAAAGUACUUUCAGCGGGGAGGAAGGGAGUAAAGUUAAUACCUUUGCUCAUUGACGUUACCCGCAGAAGAAGCACCGGCUAACUCCGUG
rnacentral:rRNA from 1 species